rnacentral:rRNA from 1 species
UACGUAGGGGGGCAAGCGUUGUCCGGAAUCAUUGGGCGUAAAGAGCGUGUAGGCGGCCAGAUAAGUCCGCUGUGAAAUCUCGAGGCUCAACUUCGAGCUGUCGGUGGAAACUGUCUGGCUAGAGUCCGGAAGAGGAGAAUGGAAUUCCUGGUGUAGCGGUGAAAUGCGCAGAUAUCAGGAAGAACACCCGUGGCGAAGGCGGUUCUCUGGGACGGUACUGACGCUGAAGCACGAAAGCUAGGGGAGCAAAUGGG